GCAAGUCGAGCGCGCCCUUCGGGGUGAGUGGCGCACGGGUGCGUAACGCGUGGGAAUAUACCCUUGAGUAAGGAAUAACGUAGAGAAAUUUGCGCUAAUACCUUAUAAUGACUUCGGUCCAAAGAUUUAUCGCUCAAGGAUUAGCCCGCGUUAGAUUAGAUAGUUGGUGAGGUAACGGCUCACCAAGUCGACGAUCUAUAGGGGGUCUGAGAGGAUGAUC
rnacentral:rRNA from 1 species